CGCGUGUAUAUGAUAACCUCACCUAGCGAAUAAUACAUGAAUAUUCUUUUCCUAAAUUCAAAAUGUUAAAAAUGUCAGAAUUGAAUCAAAUAAUCUUUGCAAACUUAUUAACAAAUCAUGAUUACCUGUUUUGAUAAUCUUUUUCUCUUCAAAUGAAAUCACAGACAUUACACUUCUUUUUUCUAUUUCGAUCAAAAUUUUAAAAGGUAAGAAUUCUAACAGAAAGCACCAUCUAACGGAUGUCGACUUAUCGACGAGAAGUAUAACGGUAGCUACAAUAUUCUUUAGCCAAGCUCGAGACACGACAAGGUCGGCAAACAUCAUUAUCUAGAAAAUCUGUCAACGGGUUGGAGUGUAGACGAAAUAUCCCACGGGGUAUGAUGCCGCGUCGACUCGUUAAGGAAUCCAUGUCCGGAACUUGGUUAAAGGCUAGAGGCCGCACAAGUGGACGAGUAGGUAAUCCCGAAGGUAUUUACGUUCUUGUGUGCAUCACUCACGUGCAAGUUACGUGACCGAUAUGUCGGGCUUGUGCGGGGACAGGAGGUGGCGGGUUGUUGCAACUUAACAAGCUUAGCCCCCUUAAUCCCCUUGUAAGCUAGCAAUGUCUACAAGGGGUCAGCCGUACGCAUGAAAUGCAUCCGUUUACAGGACGAGCUUUGUCUUCGUUCCAGGGUUAAGGUUUACGUCGACCGACCGUGGAGAGAUCGAGACGACAAAUUGGGGAUGCCCGUGCGGGGCAGUGCUUCCCCCGUGCACUUACAAGGGAGGCCUCUCUUCUGAAGGGUCAACAAGAGUGAAGUAUUAUUUUUUGUUUUAUUUUGUAUUUUCAUUUUUUUUUAUUUUUCCUAUUUUAGAUUUUUAUAAUUAUAAUUUCAUCUAUA